rnacentral:misc_RNA from 1 species
GAUGAAGAACGCAGCGAAAUGCGAUACGUAAUGUGAAUUGCAGAAUUCAGUGAAUCAUCGAAUCUUUGAACGCACAUUGCGCCCCCUGGUAUUCCGGGGGGCAUGCCUGUUCGAGCGUCAUUUCACCACUCAAGCCUCGCUUGGUAUUGGGCAACGCGGUCCGCCGCGUGCCUCAAAUCGACCGGCUGGGUCUUCUGUCCCCUAAGCGUUGUGGAAACUAUUCGCUAAAGGGUGCUCGGGAGGCUACGCCGUAAAACAAACCCAUUUCUAAGGUUGACCUCGGAUCAGGUAGGGAUACCCGCUGAACUUAAGCAUAUCAAUAAGCGGAGGA